AUCAGUAACAACCAAGUUCACUCUCUCACUAUUCACGGUGUUCAACAGACAUCUCUCGCUUCUUCGAACUUGAGAAACUCUCAUUAGUACACUAUCUACUGUUGGGUUCUCAACUUCUGCCAAUAUUCCCAUCAUAUUUCCUAUGGCUCUAGUUGUUUCCACUCUCAUGUAAUCAAUUGGAACUCCAUGUACCUGAAUCCAGAAUUUCAUGUAUUCAUGACUUACCUCAUAGAUUGAAACAUCUUGAGACCAAUACUGUAGGUUUAUUAGACUAUCCCUGAUAUUCCACGAGCCGUUGCGAAGAAUCUUUAAUCAUGUCUUUAAAGCUAAUGGGCAUUUUAUCCACUCCAGUCGGAUUGUCCCAGAGGCCGAGUAAGUGAUAUGCUCCUUGGAACAAUGCCUAGCUGCUAUGAUGGUGACACGAUAGUGUUAUGUGGUUGUUGCUGCUGUGUUUUGGUGGUCUAACAAGAAGCAAUGCUUGCGAGAAUGUUACUUGGUGAGGGUGAUGAUGGGUGGAAAGUCUAUGGGUGAAAAGCUCUCGGUGAAGGGCUUUAAGUAAAGGGUUAUUGCUAUUCUUCCUCUAUCCUAGUCCAGUAUAUGGUCUAAGUGAUGGAAUGAUAGAAUGGUUCAUGAUUUGGAUAUGUUUGUGUUGGGAUUGUGCUUAAUUUUCUUAUUUGGAGUUAGUGAUAUAUGUGUUCAAGGGAUGGUCGAUGCUAUUUGGUUAGAACCUGGCGUUCUGGGUUGACUUUCCAGACGGGAGAAAAAUCUUUUCAGCCGAGAGUUGCAUUACCAGCUUGUAUUCCUUGUAUUAGACCUAUUCUCCAGCAAUAGAUUACGAGGGCUAGACCUAUUGAUCAUAACGGUCCGCUACCCCCCUCAAUUGAUCCUUUCAGGCAAGGCUCUAAGCGAAUCAACUCAUUUGUGAACGAGUUUAAGGCUUUGACCGAUCAAUUCUAUGUCCAAAGGAAUGAAAUCUGAGGCUGAAAGCUCCAUGCGAAUUUCUUCUGGGCCUUUAGCCCUGUUAUACAUAAAAAAGAAAACAUUUGAAGUAUAAA